GACGAACGCUGGCGGCGUGGAUUAGGCAUGCAAGUCGAACGGUAGUAUCCUUUCGGGGAUAUGAGAGUGGCGAACGGGUGAGUAACACGUAGGUAAUCUACCCUCAAAUCGGGGACAACCCAGGGAAACUUGGGCUAAUACCGGAUGAGUGCAGCACCUUGAUUUUCCGGUGGGCGGUGAAUGGUUAAAUCUAUUUACCGGACAUUGGGAAAUGAAGGUGCUGUAUAAAAGAUGGCGUAAGCUGUCGUUUGAGGAUGAGCCUGCGCUCUAUUAGUUAGUUGGUGGGGUAAUGGCCUACCAAGGCGAUGAUAGAUAGGCGGCCUUAACGGGUGGCCGCCCACACUGGGAUUGAGAUACGGCCCAGACUCCUACGGGAGGCAGCAGUCGAGAAUAGUCUACAAUGGACGAAAGUCUGAUAGUGCGACGCCGCGUGAACGAAGAAGCCCUUCGGGUGUAAAGUUCUUUAUAUGUGAGCAGUGCUUUCUAUGUGAACAGCAUGGGGAGAGAGA
rnacentral:rRNA from 1 species